UUGGGAAUCAUUGGCAAUGGGGGAAACCCUGACCAUGCGACGCCGCGUGGAGGACGAAAGAUCUAGGUCUGUAAACUCCUUUUGCACGGAAAGACUUAGGACGGUACCGUGCGAAUAAGCUCCGGCUAACUACGUGCCAGCAGCCGCGGUAAGACGUAGGGAGCAAGCGUUGUCCGGAUUUACUGGGCGUAAAGAGCGCGUAGGCGGUCUGUUAAGUGAGAAGUGAAAUCUCCAGGGCUCAACCCGGAAACUGCUUUUCAUACUGGCAGACUUGAGGAAUGCAGAGGUGUGUGGAAUUCCUGGUGUAGCGGUGAAAUGCAUUGAUAUCAGGAGGAACACCCAUGGCGAAGGCAGCACACUGGGCAUUAUCUGACGCUGAGGCGCGAAAGCGUGGGUAGCA
rnacentral:rRNA from 1 species